rnacentral:rRNA from 1 species
UAGGGAAUCUUCCACAAUGGACGCAAGUCUGAUGGAGCAACGCCGCGUGAGUGAAGAAGGCUUUCGGGUCGUAAAACUCUGUUGUUGGAGAAGAAUGGUCGGCAGAGUAACUGUUGUCGGCGUGACGGUAUCCAACCAGAAAGCCACGGCUAACUACGUGCCAGCAGCCGCGGUAAUACGUAGGUGGCAAGCGUUAUCCGGAUUUAUUGGGCGUAAAGCGAGCGCAGGCGGUUUUUUAAGUCUGAUGUGAAAGCCCUCGGCUUAACCGAGGAAGUGCAUCGGAAACUGGGAAACUUGAGUGCAGAAGAGGACAGUGGAACUCCAUGUGUAGCGGUGAAAUGCGUAGAUAUAUGGAAGAACACCAGUGGCGAAGGCGGCUGUCUGGUCUGUAACUGACGCUGAGGCUCGAAAGCAUGGGUAGCGAACAGGAUUAGAUACCCUGGUAGUCCAUGCCGUAAACGAUGAAUGCUAGGUGUUGGAGGGUUUCCGCCCUUCAGUGCCGCAGCUAACGCAUUAAGCAUUCCGCCUGGGGAGUACGACCGCAAGGUUGAAAC